UGUCUAAAUUUAUGGGGAGUCUUUUUCCCCAAUCAAUUUAUGGGUCUUGUUAAUUCAUUACCUAGACUAUUUGACAGCCAAACACUCAGUUAACAAAAACCAAGCUAUCUCUGUUCUCUUUCCAUUCCGCUCCCACUUCUCUCCUAAGCUCUCAAAUACUUGAAUCUUCUCACUUCAUUUCAUCUAAGGUCUAAAAUCAGUAGCUACUUUACCUCUAUGCCUUGCUUCUCAUCAUGUUAAGAGAACAAAUGGAGGACUUUAAGAUUUCAAACCACUGAGCUUGUCUCUAUUUUGCUUCAAUACCAGAAAUUUUCUUUCCUUUCGAAUAAGCCCACAUAUGGUGAAGCUCUAGCUAUUGCCCAGUCUCUAAUUGAGUGAUUUAUCGAGUUUUGGGAUUUACCCAAUCAGCCAUUUGAACAAAUUUAAACAAAUUUAAAAGUUCAACCGUUGUACCGAGUCGGGGCCUCCAUCAUUCGCAAACACAUAAGUGGAAGAACCUUACUGUUCAAAGCUCACAAUCAAGAUUGGUCAGAGGAACAACAAAAGCCCUAGAAUCAUAGUCCUCCACUUUAUUGAAUAGCAUUGUUCCAAUGGAGAAGGAUCAGAAGGUAGCAUUUGAAGACCCCAAGGUGGAUAUGUUCGAGGACGAUGACGAGUUUGAAGAGUUCAACAUCAAUAUUGUUGUGAUUAAAGGAUAUUCUAAUAGUAAUAAGAAACUAAAAUAAAUGAUUAGUUUGUGGAGUUGUGGCAAUGACAUGCUUAAUGGCAACGUUCUGUGAAAUUGUAGUGUGUUGGCAAUUUUCGAGGUUGAUUGAAUGUAGUGAAAACCAGGACUCUUAGGGUGAAGGUGGGUAGGCAGUGCUUGCAGGGAGAUUUCAUAAUAGGCAUUGUUGUGGCCCUUGUUGGCUUUGGUAUCUUUUAAAUUUAAAUUUCCUUUUCUUCUGAAUGUGGACUGGAGCCUGGAGGUAGCUUUUCUUUGGCUCUUUGGUAUAAGGUCUGCCUAGCUAUUUGUUAAUUGUAUUGCUGGUUCACUCUAGUUAUAAUGCUUGAGUGAACCUCAUUGGACUAAAUUCUUGAGCUUUUUGUAUGUAAAUAU